AUACUUACCUGGCAGGGAAGAUACCAAGAUCACGAAGGUGGUUUUCCCAGGAUGAGACGGAUUUACUGUACUGGGAAUCUACUGGUCCCUGCGAUUUCCCCACAUGGGAGAAACUCGACUGUAUAGUUUUUUUGAUGAAGGGCUGUGUUUGCACUUUCUUCCU
rnacentral:snRNA from 1 species